UGCUAACGUCCGUCGUGGAGAGGGAAACAACCCAGACCGCCAGCUAAGGUCCCAAAUUACUACUAAGUGGGAAACGAUGUGGGAAGGCUCAGACAGCCAGGAUGUUGGCUUAGAAGCAGCCAUCAUUUAAAGAAAGCGUAAUAGCUCACUGGUCGAGUCGGCCUGCGCGGAAGAUGUAACGGGGCUAAGUAGUAAACCGAAGCUGCGGCAAUGUGCUUUUGCACAUUGGGUAGGGGAGCGUUCUGUAAGCGGUUGAAGGUGUGUGGUAACGCAUGCUGGACGUAUCAGAAGUGCGAAUGCUGACAUGAGUAACGAUAAAGGGGGUGAAAAACCUCCUCGCCGGAAGACCAAGGGUUCCUGUCCAACGUUAAUCGGGGCAGGGUAAGUCGACCCCUAAGGCGAGGCCGAAAGGCGUAGUCGAUGGGAAACGGGUUAAUAUUCCCGUACUUCUUACAAUUGCGAUGGGGGGGACGGAGAAGGCUAGGUGGGCCUGGCGACGGUUGUCCAGGUUCAAGUGCGUAGGCUUAAGAGUUAGGUAAAUCCGGCUCUUUUUAAGGCUGAGACACGACGUCGAGCUACUACGGUAGUGAAGUCAUUGAUGCCAUGCUUCCAGGAAAAGCCUCUAAGCUUCAGAUUGUAAGGAAUCGUACCCCAAACCGACACAGGUGGUCGGGUAGAGAAUACCAAGGCGCUUGAGAGAACUCGGGUGAAGGAACUAGGCAAAAUGGUACCGUAACUUCGGGAGAAGGUACGCUCUUGAUGGUGAAGUCCCUCGCGGAUGGAGCUGACGAGAGUCGCAGAUACCAGGUGGCUGCAACUGUUUAUUAAAAACACAGCACUGUGCAAAAUCGUAAGAUGACGUAUACGGUGUGACGCCUGCCCGGUGCCGGAAGGUUAAUUGAUGGGGUUAGACUUCGGUCGAAGCUCUUGAUCGAAGCCCCGGUAAACGGCGGCCGUAACUAUAACGGUCCUAAGGUAGCGAAAUUCCUUGUCGGGUAAGUUCCGACCUGCACGAAUGGCGUAAUGAUGGCCACGCUGUCUCCA
rnacentral:rRNA from 1 species